AUUGAACGCUGGCGGCAGGCCUAACACAUGCAAGUCGAGCGAGCGGCGGACGGGUGCGUAAUGUAUGGGGACUGCCCGAUAGCGGGGGAUCACUACUGGAAACGGUAGCUAAUACCGCAUACUAUCGGAUAACCCAUAUGGGAUUAGCUAGUAGGUGAGGUAAUGGCUCACCUAGGCGACGAUCCCUAGCUGGUCUGAGAGGAUGAUCCGCCACACUGGGACUGAGACACGGCCCAGACGCCUACGGAGGCAGCAGUGGGGAAUAUUGCGCAAUGGGCGCAAGCCUGAUGCAGCCAUGCCGCGUGAAUGAAGAAGGCCCUAGGGUUGUAAAGUACUUUCAGUCGGGAGGCGUUACCGACAGAAGAAGCACCGGCUAACUCCGUGCCAGCCGCCGCGGUAAUAC
rnacentral:rRNA from 1 species